CACCAGAUUCAACCAUUUUCCCACUGUAGGCCUGUGUGUGUGUUUUAUUCCUGCUCUUUGCAGCAUCUCUGAAGAUGCAAAUGUUUAUUAUCCAAUUAUGAUCAAACUAUUGUCAGAUUUUAAAAUGGAACUGAAUUUCCUGCUCCCUCUCUCUCCUCUCCUCCCUCUCUCUCUCCCCUCCCCCUCUGGGUGUUUUUCGUUUUGAUGGAGAGACUGGCAACGAAAUCUGGAAUGGCUUUACCGAAUGCCUCACGGAUCACGGACAUUACAUUACAGCGGAGUGCGGAGAGGGACGGGAAAACUGUGAAUGAACAAGGAAAGGACAAUGACAACGAAAAUGCGAACGGACAAAAUGGAAAAACAGGAGUAGGAAAACAAAAAGAGUUUCAGGUGGAACCGGGCAAGUCACUAUACUGGACGAUGGAUGACCCCUUUGAGGACCGUGUCAUAUCUGAGACCACACCAACCUUUUUGACGGGACUUGCUGCUGUCUUUGCGAUCUAUAUUCUACCUGGCUGCAGUACCAGGAAGAGGCAGCCUGUACUCUGGAAUUCAUUCAGAGAGACUGGCAACGAAAUCUGGAAUGGCUUUACCGAAUGCCUCACGGAUCACGGACAUUACAUUACAGCGGAGUGCGGAGAGGGACGGGAAAACUGUGAAUGAACAAGGAAAGGACAAUGACAACGAAAAUGCGAACGGACAAAAUGGAAAAACAGGAGUAGGAAAACAAAAAGAGAUCCAUCUCUAGGCUCAGCAGCCCUGUCCCCUUCUGGUCACCCUACCCCAGAAUGCUGAACCUGAACCAGCGUUUCUCCCAACUGAAGGAGGACGCGUCACUGCAGCUCUCUCGUCUCCUCUUCACACACCACACUUUUC